UUCGCGGUGAACUCCCAGACCGCGUCCUGGUCGAGCACGGACUGCUCGCCGAACCGGUCGCCGUCACCGAGCACGCCGACCACCGUCUCGUCACCGUACUUGCCGAUGCCGAUCUGGUUGAUCUUGCCGUGCGCGAUCAGGUAGAUCCGGUCCGCCGCCUCACCGCGUUCGGCGAGCACCUCGCCCGGGCCGAAGUCGCGCUGCUCGCAGCGGUCGGCCAGCGCGGUCAGCACCUCGUCGUCCUCGAACCCGCGCAGCAGCGCCAGCUCACCCAGCUCCUGGGGGAUGACCCGGACCUCGGAACCGGUCUUGAUGAACUCGACCCGGCCGUCACCGACGGUGUAGGUCAGUCGGCGGUUGACCCGGUAGGCGCCACCGGCAGCCUGCACCCAGGGCAGCACCUUGAGCAGCCAGCGGGAGGUGAUCUCCUGCAUCUGCGGCGCGGACUUGGUGGUGGUGGCGAGAUUGCGGGCAGCAGCCGUCGUCAGGCUCGACUGCGCCACCUG
rnacentral:antisense_RNA from 1 species